rnacentral:lncRNA from 1 species
UAUAACCCUAGAUCGGCACGACAACAGCAAUCUCCCUCACGCACAAAUCAUUCAAGGCUCACGCAUGGGAGUCUAUCUCUCUCGCAGCCUCUCACGGUCACGCCGACGGCCCGUCGCCGUCAUGGAGCAUCCAACGCACGGUCAGUCCCUUACGGUCUCACUCUCACCGUCAACCGCCGCUAGCACCCAUCACUCACGAAUCAACCGCUGCUAGUCAUCUCAUUCAUCUCGCCAGUAAUUGCUGCCUCUCUCCAUUGUUGCUAUCACGCCAGUGAA